AUGCGAAUCACAAAGCGAGCAACUUCCAAUGCUCUUGUGGCUAUUUUGGAUUUCUCUCCCGAGAGCAGGCUUUUUUUGGUGUGUGUUGCCCCCCCUCCAACCCUCCCUUUCCAUAUGAUUGUUAUAAUUAUUCUCUCCCUCCCUCCCUUCUCCGCCGGCUCCCCCCUCCCCGCCACGAAACCCGGCAAUAAGGAUGCACCGUCCUCGGUCCUCUUUCGGCAGGUCAUUGCUCUCGGGCUGAAGGUGAGCCGGGAUGGGGAAGGAGAAGCGUUUGCAGGAGGAGAAGGAGCACCGCACCGCUGCCCGGCUGAGGCGGGCCCUCGCCGCCUCUUCCUUAUUCCGCCGCGGCUGCUCCUGGGGCCCGCCGGCAGCUCCCGGGGGCAACAGCCCCCCAAACCUCUCCGGCCUCGUCCCGGGGAGGCCAGCCUCCGCUUUGCCCGGCGGAGCCCGGCCUCUGCUCGCGGAGGGGCCGCACAGCGCCGGCGGAGGGCCCUGCCCUGCACCUGCCUCGGCGGGCUGGGAGGGAGGAGAGGAAGGAGGGAAGAAGGGAGGGAUGGAGGGAGGGAGGAAGGAGGGAGAGAGGGAGGCUCCUCUGUGCGCGGGGAGAGGCUCAGGCUCUCAGCUGGGCGCUCCCGGCAGCUGCUGCCGUGCUGCACCGCGGGCGGUGGCGGCUCCCAGCGCGGCGGGAGCGCGCCUGUGCCGCGGGACCGCAGAGCUUCGAGGCGGGGGGCUCGGAGCUCAGCCGGGAAGUACAGCCAGAGAGUUGCGCUGUUUUCUGUUUCUAAUUUUCCUUUUUGUUUCUUUUUUUUUUUUUUUUGGCUAUUAAGCUUUUUUAUACAUAUUAUUUUUAACCCACCCCCCCCCUUCACCCCCCGCCCCGCUCCCACCCGACUGCGGUGCGUGUGCCACCAGGGGAGGAUGCGCGGCUCCCCCAGCUCCAGCCCCGGCAGCUCCGGCCGCGGCGGCGGGUCGCGGGGGGCCGCGGAGGGCCGCGGGGCCGGGGGCGUGCUGAGCCGCACCUGGCCGCGCCGUGCUGCGCCCCCCCAACUCCGCCACCUCUCCCCACUGCCCCUCGCUGCCUGA
rnacentral:lncRNA from 1 species